GGAUUAGCUAGUAGGUGGGGUAACGGCUCACCUAGGCGACGAUCCCUAGCUGGUCUGAGAGGAUGACCAGCCACACUGGAACUGAGACACGGUCCAGACUCCUACGGGAGGCAGCAGUGGGGAAUAUUGCACAAUGGGCGCAAGCCUGAUGCAGCCAUGCCGCGUGUAUGAAGAAGGCCUUCGGGUUGUAAAGUACUUUCAGCGGGGAGGAAGGGAGUAAAGUUAAUACCUUUGCUCAUUGACGUUACCCGCAGAAGAAGCACCGGCUAACUCCGUGCCAGCAGCCGCGGUAAUACGGAGGGUGCAAGCGUUAAUCGGAAUUACUGGGCGUAAAGCGCACGCAGGCGGUUUGUUAAGUCAGAUGUGAA
rnacentral:rRNA from 1 species